rnacentral:rRNA from 1 species
UACGGAGGGUGCGAGCGUUGUCCGGAAUCACUGGGCGUAAAGGGCGCGUAGGCGGCCUGAUAAGUAGGGGGUGAAAUCCUGCGGCUUAACCGCAGGGCUGCCUUCUAAACUGUCAGGCUAGAGCACAGUAGAGGCAGGUGGAAUUCCCGGUGUAGCGGUGAAAUGCGUAGAGAUCGGGAGGAACACCCGUGGCGAAGGCGGGUCUCUAGCCAGUUCCUGACGCUGAGGCACGAAAGCCAGGGUAGCAAACGGG